UGGGGAAUAUUGCGCAAUGGGCGAAAGCCUGACGCAGCGACGCCGCGUGUGGGAUGACGGCCUUCGGGUUGUAAACCACUGUCGCGAGGGACGAAGCUCUGACGGUACCUCGAAAGGAAGCACCGGCUAACUCUGUGCCAGCAGCCGCGGUAAUACAGAGGGUGCGAGCGUUGUCCGGAAUCACUGGGCGUAAAGGGCGCGUAGGUGGCCUGAUAAGUAGGGGGUGAAAUCUCGCGGCUCAACUGCGAGGCUGCCUCCUAAACUGUCGGGCUCGAGCAGAGUAGAGGCAGGUGGAAUUCCCGGUGUAGCGGUGGAAUGCGUAGAGAUCGGGAAGAACAUCGGUGGCGAAGGCGGCCUGCUGGGCUCUUGCUGACACUGAGGCGCGACAGCGUGGGGAGCAAACAGGAUUAGAUACCCCCGUAGUCC
rnacentral:rRNA from 1 species